rnacentral:misc_RNA from 1 species
GAUGAAGAACGUAGCGAAAUGCGAUAAGUAAUGUGAAUUGCAGAAUUCAGUGAACCAUCGAAUCUUUGAACGCACAUUGCGCCCGGCAGUAAUCUGCCGGGCAUGCCUGUCCGAGCGUCAUUUCUGCCCUCGAGCGAGUCCAGCAUCUAGGUGCUGGGCCCGCCCGGCGUUGGGGCACUACGGGAAGCCCUGUGCUGUCCCCCGUAGGCCCCGAAAUGAAGUGGUGGUCCUGCCGCGGCGCCCCCUGCGUAGUAUAACAGCUCGCUUCGGAACCCGGUGGAGGCCUGCCGUCAAACCUUACUCUCUAAGUUUGACCUCGGAUCAGGUAGGGUUACCCGCUGAACUUAAGCAUAUCAAUAAGCGGAGGA